GAUGAACGCUGGCGGCGUGCUUAACACAUGCAAGUCGAACGACGCAUUGAUCUUCGAAAUCUUCGGAUGGAAGAGAUUUAUGACUGAGUGGCGGACGGGUGAGUAACGUGUGGAUAACCUGCCUCAUACAGGGGGAAAACAGUUAGAAAUGGCUGCUCAUACCACAUAAGCAUAUAAAGACCGUCUGGUCUGUCGUGAAAAACUUUUGUGGUAUGAGAUGGAUCCGCGUCUGAUUAGCUAGGUGGUGGGGUAACGGCGCACCAAGGCGACGGUCAGUAGCCGGCCUGAGGACGACCAGCCACACUAGGACUGAGACACGGCCCAGACUCCUACGGGAGGCAGCAGUGGGGAAUCUUGCGCAAUGGGCGAAAGCCUGACGCAGCAACGCCGCGUGGGGGAUGAAGGCCCUCGGGUUGUAAACCCCUUUCAGCAGGAACGAAACUGACGGUACCUGCAGAAGAAGGUCCGGCCAACUACGUGCCAGCCGCCGCAGUAACAC
rnacentral:rRNA from 1 species